rnacentral:tRNA from 1 species
GCGCGCGUAGUUCAGUGGUAGAACGCGUCACUGAUAAUGACGAGGUCCUAGGUCCGAUUCCUAGCGCGCGCA